UACAGAGGGGGCAAGCGUUGUUCGGAAUUACUGGGCGUAAAGAGCUCGUAGGCGGUGUGUCGCGUCGGCCGUGAAAACCUGCAGCUUAACUGUGGGCGUGCGGUCGAUACGGGCAUCACUGGAGUUCGGCAGGGGAGACUGGAAUUCCUGGUGUAGCGGUGAAAUGCGCAGAUAUCAGGAGGAACACCGGUGGCGAAGGCGGGUCUCUGGGCCGAUACUGACGCUGAGGAGCGAAAGCGUGGGGAGCGAACAGG
rnacentral:rRNA from 1 species